CCUACGGGAGGCAGCAGUGAGGAAUCUUGGUCAAUGGGCGCGAGCCUGAACCAGCAACGUAGCGUGAAGGAUGACUGUCCUACGGGUUGUAAACUUCUUUUAUAAAUGAAUACAUUGAGGCAAGUGUGCCUUUUUGUCUGUACUUUAUGUAUACGGAACGGCUAACUCCGUGCCAGCAGCCGCGGUAAUACGGAGGAUCCGAGCGUUAUCCGGAUUUAUUGGGUUUAAAGGGAGCGUAGAUGGGUUGUUAAGUCAGUUGUGAAAGUUUGCGGCUCAACCGUACAAUUGCAAUGGAUACUGGCAGCCUUGAGUACAGUAGAGGAAGGCGGAAUUCGUGGUGUAGCGGUGAAAUGCUUAGAUAUAACGAAGAACUCCGAUGGCGAAGGCAGCCUACUAAUCUGCCACUGACAUUGAUGCGCGAAAGUGUGGGGAUCAAACAGGAUUAGAUACCCGAGUAGUC
rnacentral:rRNA from 1 species